GUCUCAUUCUUGCAAAACAGAACCUAAAACGCUGCCCCACUUCUUUUGAGAACGCUCUGAUAGGGUUACUUACGGCUGCUCUUGGUCAAGCUAGCUCUAAGCUCAGCUCGUCUUCACUUCUUAUAUCUGCUCUUGGAGCUGUCGGUCCCGUUGGUUUAAGAGUUGAAGCCGAGAUUAGCUCCUUUCCAGAUGUGAGAGGUACUCGUGGUCAACAGUGGAGAGAUGAUUCUGUUGCAUAGUCUACUUGGACUGGACUUCAUGUCAUUCUUGGGCUUUUCUUUAGGGCUAUGGCCCAUGUACUUGUCCGUCUUUUAGAUUUCUAUAUGUUUCCAUUAAACUGUAUAACCUGUUUCUUUUUGGACAUCGUGGUAUGCCUUGGGUUGUAAGGAGUUAAGUUUAAAACUCCAGAACUGCGCACUGCUGUAUUAUCUUGUGUGAC